rnacentral:tRNA from 1 species
AGUUGAAAUAAUUUAAAUUUAAAAUAUUGAUUUUGUAAAUCAAAAUUGAAAUAUUCUUUCAACUUC